GUUAUAGGAUCAAGUGACUAAGUGCAUGCGGCGGAUGCCUUGGCGAUCACAGGCGAAGAAAGACGCGGCAGCCUGCGAAAAGCUGCGGGGAGCUGGCAAACGAGCUUUGAUCCGCAGAUAUCUGAAUGGGGGAACCCACACCGCAAGGUGUAUCCGUAGCUGAAUACAUAGGUUACGGAGGCGAACGAGGAGAACUGAAACAUCUAAGUAUCCUCAGGAAAAGAAAUCAACCGAGAUUCCGGCAGUAGCGGCGAGCGAACCCGGAGGAGCCCAGCUUUUGAUAGUACGAACUUUAGCCGAAAGGACCUGGAAAGGCCUGCUAUAGUGGGUGAUAGCCCCGUAGGCGAAAGAGUUGGUACGGUACUAAGGAAGCGAGAAGUAGAGCGGGACACGUGGAAUCCUGUUCGAAGACGGGGGGACCAUCCUCCAAGGCUAAAUACUCGUGAUCGACCGAUAGUGAACCAGUACCGUGAGGGAAAGGCGAAAAGAACCCCGGGAGGGGAGUGAAAUAGAACCUGAAACCGCAUGCAUACAAACAGUAGGAGCCUUUACGGAGGUGACUGCGUACCUUUUGCAUAAUGGGUCAGCGACUUACAUUCUGUGGCGAGCUUAACCGAAUAGGGGAGGCGCAGCGAAAGCGAGUUCGAAAUGAGCGUUCAGUCGCAGGGUGUAGACCCGAAACCAGAUGAGCUAUCCAUGGCCAGGUUGAAGGUGUGGUAACACACACUGGAGGACCGAACCGACUAGUGUUGCAAAAUUAGCGGAUGAGCUGUGGAUAGGGGUGAAAGGCCAAACAAAUCUGGAGAUAGCUGGUUCUCCCCGAAAACUAUUGAGGUAGUGCCUCGUGUGUCGCUCCAGGGGGUAGAGCACUGUUUUGGCUAGGGGGACAUGGAGUCUUACCAAACCAAGGCAAACUCCGAAUACCUGGAAGCGUAAGCACGGGAGACAGAGCACCGGGUGCUAACGUCCGGACUCAAAAGGGAAACAACCCAGACCGCCGGCUAAGGUCCCAAAUAACAGCUAAGUGGAAAACGAAGUGGAAAGGCCGUGACAACCAGGAAGUUGGCUUAGAAGCAGCCAUCCUUCAAAGAAAGCGUAAUAGCUCACUGGUCGAGUCCUUCUGCGCGGAAGAUGUAACGGGGCUAAGCUGUUAACCGAAGCCGCGGAUGCGCUGGUUAUCCAGUGCGUGGUAGGGGAGCGUUCUGUAAGUCUGCGAAGGCGGUUCGAGAGGACUGCUGGAGAUAUCAGAAGUGCGAAUGCUGACAUGAGUAACGUUAAAGCAGGUGAAAAGCCUGCUCGCCGUAAGCCCAAGGAUUCCUGCUCUACGUUCAUCGGAGCAGGGUGAGUCGGCUCCUAAGGUCAGGCCGAAAGGCGUAGCCGAUGGGAAUCAGGUUAAUAUUCCUGAACCUGCGUCAGAUGCGAUGGGGGGACGGAGCAUGGAAGAUCAUCCGGGUGUUGGAAGUCCCGGUUGUUUAGCGUAGGAGGUCUGCAGGCAAAUCCGCAGACGCAUCUCCAAGGCAAAGACACGUGCCGCCACGGCGGCGAAGUGAUCGGAAGUGCUUCCAAGAAAAGCCUCUAAGCCCCAGUCUGACGCGGACCGUACCGCAAACCGACACUGGUGGGCGAGCUGAAUAUGCUCAGGCGCUUGAGAGAACUCGGGAGAAGGAACUCGGCAAAUUGACACCGUAACUUCGGAAGAAGGUGUGCCGUAGUACCGUGAGAGGAGAGACACCUUGAGCGGGAAACGGUCUCAGAGAAUAGGUGGCUGCGACUGUUUAUUAAAAACACAGCACUCUGCAAAGUCGAAAGACGACGUAUAGGGUGUGAUGCCUGCCCGGUGCUGGAAGAUUAAUUGAUGGGGUGAGAGCCCUUGAUCGAAGUCCCAGUAAACGGCGGCCGUAACUAUAACGGUCCUAAGGUAGCGAAAUUCCUUGUCGGGUAAGUUCCGACCUGCACGAAUGGCAUAACGAUGGCCACACUGUCUCCUCCCGAGACUCAGUGAAGUUGAAAUGUUUGUGAUGAUGCAAUCUACCCGCGGCUAGACGGAAAGACCCCAUGAACCUUUACUGCAGCUUUGCAUUGAACUGUGAACCGAUUUGUGUAGGAUAGGUGGGAGGCAGAGAAGAGGCCACGCCAGUGGUCUUGGAGCCGACCUUGAAAUACCACCCUGAUUUGUUUGCGGUUCUAACCACGGACAGUGAUCCUGUCUUGGGACCGUGCAUGGUAGGCAGUUUGACUGGGGCGGUCUCCUCCUAAAGGGUAACGGAGGAGUACGAAGGUACGCUAGGUACGGUCGGAAAUCGUGCUGAUAGUGCAAUGGCAAAAGCGUGCUUGACUGCGAGAGCAACAACUCGAGCAGAUGCGAAAGCAGGUCAUAGUGAUCCGGUGGCUCUGAAUGGAAGGGCCAUCGCUCAACGGAUAAAAGGUACUCUGGGGAUAACAGGCUGAUACCGCCCAAGAGUUCAUAUCGACGGCGGUGUUUGGCACCUCGAUGUCGGCUCAUCUCAUCCUGGGGCUGUAGUCGGUCCCAAGGGUAUGGCUGUUCGCCAUUUAAAGAGGUACGUGAGCUGGGUUUAAAACGUCGUGAGACAGUUUGGUCCCUAUCUGCCGUGGGCGUUGGAAGAUUGACGGGGGCUGCUCCUAGUACGAGAGGACCGGAGUGGACGCACCUCUGGUGUACCGGUUGUCACGCCAGUGGCAUUGCCGGGUAGCUAAGUGCGGAAGAGAUAACCGCUGAAAGCAUCUAAGCGGGAAACUUGCCUGAAGAUGAGUCUUCCCGGAGGUUGAACCUCCCUCAAGAGUCGUCCGAGACCAGGACGUCGAUAGGUCAGGUGUGUAAGCGCUGUAAGGCGUUGAGCUAACUGAUACUAAUUGCUCGUGAGGCUUGAUCCUAUAACC
rnacentral:rRNA from 1 species